UGGGGAAUAUUGCGCAAUGGGGGGAACCCUGACGCAGCCAUGCCGCGUGAAUGAAGAAGGCCUUCGGGUUGUAAAGUUCUUUCGGUAUUGAGGAAGGUUGAUGUGUUAAUAGCACAUCAAAUUGACGUUAAAUACAGAAGAAGCACCGGCUAACUCCGUGCCAGCAGCCGCGGUAAUACGGAGGGUGCGAGCGUUAAUCGGAAUAACUGGGCGUAAAGGGCACGCAGGCGGUUAUUUAAGUGAGGUGUGAAGCCCUGGGCUUAACCUAGGAAUUGCAUUUCAGACUGGGUAACUAGAGUACUUUAGGGAGGGGUAGAAUUCCACGUGUAGCGGUGAAAUGCGUAGAGAUGUGGAGGAAUACCGAAGGCGAAGGCAGCCCCUUGGGAAUGUACUGACGCUCAUGUGCGAAAGCGUGGGGAGCAAACAGGAUUAGAUACCCUGGUAGUCCACGCUGUAAACGCUGUCGAUUUGGGGAUUGGGCUUAGAGCUUGGUGCCCGUAGCUAACGUGAUAAAUCGACCGCCUGGGGAGUACGGCCGCAAGGUUA
rnacentral:rRNA from 1 species